GCGCCCGUAGCUCAGUAGGAUAGAGCGACUGGCUUCGAACCAGUAGGUCGCAGGUUCGAUUCCUGCCGGGCGCA
rnacentral:tRNA from 1 species